ACGGACGCAAAGCCGCGAGGUGGAGCAAAUACCUAAAAAGCCGGUCUCAGUUCGGAUUGCAGGCUGCAAUUCGCCUGCAUGAAGUCGGAAUCGCUAGUAAUCGCAGGUCAGCAUACUGCGGUGAAUACCGGUUCCCGGGCCUU
rnacentral:rRNA from 1 species